GCUGCGCCGGCCCGACGGAUUAGUGUUAGCGUGGCAACGGAGUUUGGGUGUUAUGAGUGUUGUUCUCCCGCAAAUCUGGUCCUCCUGUCUUGAGGGAUAGCGCUUGUCCGUGGAGCGAGGCCGGGGCUGCAUGCAUUUAGGAUAUAGAAGCCUCAAGAAAGAAUAAUGAUGAUGAUGGCUGCUUACUGUCACUUAGAUGAGAACGACUCCGUCACCUUCUCUGUAAAGGACAAAGGUCGGCUGUCCCCAGACCACCACUAUCACCGCCGCCGCCGCUGCCACCGACAGGAACUUUGGUCACCCUUCUCGUGUUGUGUCCUGAGUUCAUUACUAUCAAGUGGAUAUCUGCCUUUGCAUGGAGGCGCCCGUGUAUGCUCGUCGCUUCAUAGACUUAAUUAGAAGGGUAGACUGUACUGGAGUAAAGUUCCAUCUCUAAACUGGGAAGUGUGCCAUCCAUAAACUAGGAAGUGAUCAGCUGUAUUAAGUAGCAUAUGAUUAUGCACUUAGGGUAAGUGCAUCAAACAUGUCACAUCAUCAAUAACAAUAAAAACAACAAAAUGAAAGAAACUUGA